rnacentral:tRNA from 1 species
UUAAAUAUGUAUUAACUUUGGAAGUUAAAGAGUAGUGAACACUAUUUUUGAA